GUGUUGUAUGAAAGGAGAGAAGGUUAGCACUUCCUUGACAAGGAUGAAAGGCCCUUGGGCUGACAACAUCAUACAGUUAAGGCAUGCCACCUACUUCGUGCAACUAAACCAAUGGUUUUA
rnacentral:ncRNA from 1 species